CGGCACGCUGCACUGGGAAGCCAGGUAAGCAAGGGAGUCCCACCUGCACUCACUGCUGCAAGUAAGCAUGCACAGGAUUGUAGCCUUACGGUUGCUAACUGCCCCAGCAGCCUGAUCAGCUCAUCGUAACCAGGGGUGGCUUUAGGCAGCAGUCUGGGAUGAAGCACAGGCCCUGGGAGCAAGAGCAAGCAGAAGUCAGGACUGAAGGAUAACCAAGGAUGCAAGAACAUGCCAUAGCCCAGAAAGAACUUAUUACUCAUGCAAGGCUCAACAGCUCAGAAUGAUCCAAAGGCCCACUCAUUCACCUUAAAGAAACAAACUUGUGCUUUCUAUAGGUAAGCAGAAGGGAGAUGCUCAGAAGUGUGCAACUUUCCCCAGCAUUGGAGCACUGGUAUGAUACAAACACCUCAUGCUCAAAUCUUCUUGCCAUAUAUCCAGGAAACUCUUUGGUCCAGGAGAAAGUUAGUUCAUUUGUCCUAGAAGACAAUCAGCCACAAGGCAGUAUUUUUUUACCCUAUUGCAAGGCCAGAAAACUGUUGUUUUUUCCUGCUUAUCUGAAAAUCUCAUAAAUUGAG